ensembl:lncRNA
ACAACAACAAAAAUGAUUCUUCAGUGGACUCUGAGUCAAAGGAAAAGAAAUAUUAGAAAAGCUGAAAACUAAGAUAUGGUCUUCAAAUUUUGGCUUUAUUGAUCAUAAAAGACACAAAGAAGCUUAAUCUUGGGCAUUGUGACAGCUCAGAAGAACAGCUAGUGUGCACAACAGGUCUAUAAAGAGGGGAAUGUUGGGGAGUUCCAUUUUCUUCACAUCCUUGCCAAUGAAUUCAGCAGUGAAGCCAUCAGGACCUGGGCUUUUUUUUGUUGCAGGUUGUAAGAAACCAGAAGAAAACACAACUUAAUGUACUUUAACUCCAAGCAAGAUCACUUCAGAGAAAUUUCUCAUAACAGCAAUCCAGAGGCCGGAAAAGGUCCAAUGUGAAAAAAUAUGCUAAAAAGUGGGUGACAAAUGGCCAGCUUCUGCCUCCAGUGAACAUUUUCUAUGAACGAUAGAGAACACUGAGAUUUUUUUCUUUUUUCAGGAAAGAACCUGUGCAAAGCUGGUGCUGCUGUGGGCUGGAGCUAAAGGAGAAACACUCUGGGAGGGCUGGUCCCUGUCAGGAAGAGAGUGGAUAAAACUGUAUUUUAGCUCAUGCUGAGAUACCUCUGCCCUGGACCCUGGUUUACCAAUACAUAUUAGCUCAUGACUGAAAUGGACAUCCAGGAACAGCCAAGCAUUCACCAUGUGGAUUCAUUAAAAUCAAAACCACAUCCAUCUCAAGAGUAGCAAAGCAUAAAGAACAUUCUCCCUGUG